GACGUAGGGGGCGAGCGUUGUCCGGAUUUACUGGGCGUAAAGCGCGCGUAGGCGGUCCGUUAAGUGCACAAGUGAAAGCUCCUGGCUCAACCAGGAAAUUGCUUUGCAUACUGGCGGGCUGGAGGGACGCAGAGGUCUGUGGAAUUCCUGGUGUAACGGUGAAAUGUGUUGAUAUCAGGAGGAACACCCAUGGCGAAGGCAGCAGACUGGGCGUUUCCUGACGCUGAGGCGCGAAAAGCGUGGGUAGCAAACAGGA
rnacentral:rRNA from 1 species